GUAGUCCACGCCGUAAACGAUGAGCACUAGGUGUCGGGGGCGCAAGCUUUCGGUGCCGUAGUUAACGCAUUAAGUGCUCCGCCUGGGGAGUACGCACGCAAGUGUGAAACUCAAAGGAAUUGACGGGGACCCGCACAAGCAGCGGAGCAUGUGGUUUAAUUCGAAGCAACGCGAAGAACCUUACCAGGACUUGACAUCCCUUUGACCGCACCGUAACGGGUGCUUCCCUUCGGGGCAGAGGAGACAGGUGGUGCAUGGUUGUCGUCAGCUCGUGUCGUGAGAUGUUGGGUUAAGUCCCGCAACGAGCGCAACCCUUGUCAUUAGUUGCCAGCAUUUCGGAUGGGCACUCUAGUGAGACUGCCGGGGAUAACUCGGA
rnacentral:rRNA from 1 species